AACGAACGCUGGCGGCAUGCCUAACACAUGCAAGUCGAACGAGACCUUCGGGUCUAGUGGCGCACGGGUGCGUAACGCGUGGGAACCUGCCCUUAGGUUCGGAAUAACUCCCCGAAAGGGGUGCUAAUACCGGAUAAUGUCUUCGGACCAAAGAUUUAUCGCCUUUGGAUGGGCCCGCGUUGGAUUAGCUAGUUGGUAGGGUAAAAGCCUACCAAGGCGACGUUCCAUAGCUGGUCUGAGAGGAUGAUCCGCCACACUGGGACUGAGACACGGCCCAGACUCCUACGGGAGGCAGCAGUGGGGAAUAUUGGACGAUGGGCGAAAGCCUGAUCCAGCAAUGCCGCGUGAGUGAUGAAGGCCUUAGGGUUGUAAAGCUCUUUUACCCGGGAUGAUAAUGACAGUACCGGGAGAAUAAGCUCCGGCUAACUCCGUG
rnacentral:rRNA from 1 species